rnacentral:rRNA from 1 species
UGGGGAAUAUUGCACAAUGGGCGCAAGCCUGAUGCAGCCAUGCCGCGUGUAUGAAGAAGGCCUUCGGGUUGUAAAGUACUUUCAGCGGGGAGGAAGGGAGUAAAGUUAAUACCUUUGCUCAUUGACGUUACCCGCAGAAGAAGCACCGGCUAACUCCGUGCCAGCAGCCGCGGUAAUACGGAGGGUGCAAGCGUUAAUCGGAAUUACUGGGCGUAAAGCGCACGCAGGCGGUUUGUUAAGUCAGACGUGAAAUCCCCGGGCUCAACCUGGGAACUGCAUCUGAUACUGGCAAGCUUGAGUCUCGUAGAGGGGGGUAGAAUUCCAGGUGUAGCGGUGAAAUGCGUAGAGAUCUGGAGGAAUACCGGUGGCGAAGGCGGCCCCCUGGACGAAGACUGACGCUCAGGUGCGAAAGCGUGGGGAGCAAACAGG